rnacentral:rRNA from 1 species
GACGAACGCUGGCGGCGUGCUUAACACAUGCAAGUCGAACGGAAAGGCCCUGCUUGCAGGGUGCUCGAGUGGCGAACGGGUGAGUAACACGUGGGUGAUCUGCCCCUUACUUUGGGAUAAGCCCGGGAAACUGGGUCUAAUACUGGAUAGGACCAUGCUGUAGGUGGUGUGGUGGAAAGAUUAGUUUCGGUAAGGGAUGAGCUCGCGGCCUAUCAGCUUGUUGGUGGGGUAAUGGCCUACCAAGGCGUCGACGGGUAGCCGGCCUGAGAGGGUGGACGGCAACAUUGGGACUGAGAUACGGCCCAGACUCCUACGGGAGGCAGCAGUGGGGAAUAUUGCACAAUGGGCGCAAGCCUGAUGCAGCGACGCCGCGUGGGGGAUGACGGCCUUCGGGUUGUAAACUCCUUUCAGCCAUGACGAAGCCCUUGUGGUGACGGUAGUGGUAGAAGAAGCACCGGCUAACUACGUG